AGUUUGAUCAUGGCUCAGAACCAACGUUAGUAGCGCGCUUAACACAUGCAAGUCGAACGAGAAAGGGCUACGGCCCCGGGUACAGUGGCGCACGGGUGAGUAACACGUAGGUAAUCUACCCUCGAGUGGUGGAUAACAUCCCGAAAGGGGUGCUAAUACAGGCAUAAGACCACGG
rnacentral:rRNA from 1 species